rnacentral:rRNA from 1 species
UACGUAGGGUGCAAGCGUUGUCCGGAAUUAUUGGGCGUAAAGAGCUUGUAGGCGGUUUGUCGCGUCUGCUGUGAAAUUUCGGGGCUCAACCCCGAACUUGCAGUGGGUACGGGCAGACUAGAGUGUGGUAGGGGAGACUGGAAUUCCUGGUGUAGCGGUGGAAUGCGCAGAUAUCAGGAGGAACACCAACGGCGAAGGCAGCUCGCUAGGACGGUACUGACGCUAAGGCGCGAAAGCGUGGGGAGCGAACAGG